rnacentral:lncRNA from 1 species
UGGUCGUGUUGGUGAUAUAUGUAUAUUCAGCAGUUAGCUGAUUUGUUACUUUUGUGCAAAAUUGUUUUUAGUCGAGGCUGUUGUUGGUGGGCUUUUUUUUUUUAUGAGAAAUGUAAUGUCAACUUUCUUGAUUGAUAUAUGUAUUAAUUUUUUUUAACUCAGUAUUAUAAUUUUGAUAACAACAUCUGUUUUCCCCCUAUACUGGUGCAUUUUGUGAGUUUAUUCCUGUCAUUUAAAAUGAAGUUAUAUACCUUUAAACAACACACAUUUUGUUUAGAUUGGGUUUUUUUUGUCCUUUGUUUUACAAAUUUUUACUUAAAUCCUCAUUCCAAUCUUGGUUGCAGUUUCUAGUCAAUGUUUUUUAAAAUCAGUAUUGUUUGGAUGAUUUUUAUUUUUACAAUAAAUCUUUUC